UCAGUAAUAUACCAUUGAGUAUAUAUACUACAUUAUCUUUAUCCAUUCAUCUGUUGAGGGAUGAAACACCAUAUCCUUUUUUUAAUUGUAUAAAUAUUUUCACUUUAUUCUAUAAGACUAGAAAUUACAGAUAUUCAGUACAUCUACUUAUAUUACCAUAGUUUUAAAAUUAGUAUAAACAUAAACAAAAAAAUUGAAAAAUCAAAUACAUAUGGUAGGCAUAGAAUUUGAAAGUUAACCAACUCUUGCUUUGUAAACCUGUUCUUGCAAAUCUUAAGUGUGCCACUUCUGUUUUGCUUCAUUAAACAAAGGUGUAUUAAUCUCUUGCACAGAAUGAUAAAUUCUGAGAAUGAAGGAAAAAGCACGGACUGAAUUUUUAGGAAAUUCAUAGCUUUAAAACAUUUUUAAUAGGACAAUCACACAUACAUUUACAGGUACAGAGUACUUCAUGGGACACCUGGAUGUGUUUCAUUGUGAUCCUACAUAGGAGGAUAUGAUAUUUAAAAAUAUCUGUGCAAGUAUUAUUAGAAAUGAAAGUAAAUGUGCAUAAAAUUCUUUAUUUCACUAUUUUGUAACACUUUAUUUACUGGUACUACAGUAAUCAGUGUCAUGUAUAAGAAUAUUUAUGGAAAUAGGUCCAGAUCUUUGAUCCCAAGGAUGAAUAAUAUACAGGAAUGUGAGCACACUGUUUUCAGCCCUAUUCGAAUUAUUGUGUAAGAUGGACAAGUUGGUUAAAUGUUGUCUUCAAAGAACUUCCAAUUUGGUAGGUAAAAAAAAUUUAUGGACAGUUCAAACACCCAUAAUAUGAGGCAAUAUGUAAGGCAAUACAUAAAUCAAGUUAGUGCAAUAGAGUUAUUGCAUUAAAGUUAAUACAGGAAAUAAUUUCGAGUGGUCCUACUAAUCUUUGUCUUAUGUGAAUUGAGGAAGUAAGAGUUACCUUGACAUUU
rnacentral:lncRNA from 1 species